AGUGAACGCUGGCGGUAGGCCUAACACAUGCAAGUCGAACGGCAGCACAGUAAGAGCUUGCUCUUACGGGUGGCGAGUGGCGGACGGGUGAGGAAUACAUCGGAAUCUACUUUUUCGUGGGGGAUAACGUAGGGAAACUUACGCUAAUACCGCAUACGAACUACGGGUGAAAGAAGGGGAUCUUCGGACCUUUCGCGAUUGAAUGAGCCGAUGUCGGAUUAGCUAGUUGGCGGGGUAAAGGCCCACCAAGGCGACGAUCCGUAGCUGGUCUGAGAGGAUGAUCAGCCACACUGGAACUGAGACACGGUCCAGACUCCUACGGGAGGCAGCAGUGGGGAAUAUUGGACAAUGGGCGCAAGCCUGAUCCAGCCAUACCGCGUGGGUGAAGAAGGCCUUCGGGUUGUAAAGCCCUUUUGUUGGGAAAGAAAAGCAGCAGGUUAAUACCCCGCUGUUCUGACGGUACCCAAAGAAUAAGCACCGGCUAACUUCGUG
rnacentral:rRNA from 1 species